UACAGAGUGCUCAAGCGUUGUUCGGAUUCAUUGGGCGUAAAGGGUGUGUAGGUGGCGUCCGUAAGUCGGGUGUGAAAUUUCCGGAGCUUACGUACCGAAACUGCAUUCGAUACUGACGGUGCUUGAGGGACUGGAGAGGAGGACUGGAAUUCAUGGUGUAGCAGUGAAAUGCGCAGAUAUCAGGAGGAACGACCAACAGCGGAAGGCAGCUCGCUGGGACGGUACU
rnacentral:rRNA from 1 species